GUGACCAAAGGUUUAACGGCCGCGGUAUUUUGACCGUGCAAAGGUAGCGCAAUCACUUGUCUCUUAAAUGGGGACCCGUAUGAAUGGCAUAACGAGGGCUUAGCUGUCUCCUUUUUCAAGUCAAUGAAAUUGAUCUCCCCGUGCAGAAGCGGGGAUACCUACAUAAGACGAGAAGACCCUAUGGAGCUUUAGACACCAAGACAGACCAUGUUAAACACCCCAAAUCAAAGGACCAAACUAAAUGGGGCCCUGUCCUAAUGUCUUCGGUUGGGGCGACCGCGGGGAAACACAAAACCCCCACGUGGAAAGGGAGCACAACCCUCCUACAGCCAAGAGCUUCCGCUCUACUAAACAGAACUUCUGACCUUAAGAUCCGGCAAAGCCGAUCAACGGACCAAGUUACCCUAGGGAUAACAGCGCAAUCCCCUUCUAGAGCCCGUAUCGACAAGGGGGUUUACGACCUCGAUGUUGGAUCAGGACAUCCUAAUGGUGCAGCCGCUAUUAAGGGUUCGUUUGU
rnacentral:rRNA from 1 species